rnacentral:rRNA from 1 species
AACAGAACGUNGGCAAGGAGGGCACACCUGUUCCCAUACCGAACACAGAAGUUAAGCUCCUUAGCGCCGAGGGUAGUACGCAAGUGCGAGAGUAGGACGUUGCUGGGC